GACGAACGCUGGCGGCGUGCUUAACACAUGCAAGUCGAACGGAAAGGCUCCAGCUUGCUGGAGUACUCGAGUGGCGAACGGGUGAGUAACACGUGGGUAAUCUGCCCUGCACUCUGGGAUAAGCCUGGGAAUCUGGGUCUAAUACUGGAUAUGACCUUUCUCCUUAUGGGGUUUGGUGGAAAGUUUUUCGGUGUAGGAUGAGCCCGCGGCCUAUCAGCUUGUUGGUGGGGUGAUGGCCUACCAAGGCGACGACGGGUAGCCGGCCUGAGAGGGUGAUCGGCCACAUUGGGACUGAGAUACGGCCCAGACUCCUACGGGAGGCAGCAGUGGGGAAUAUUGCACAAUGGGCGGAAGCCUGAUGCAGCGACGCCGCGUGAGGGAUGACGGCCUUCGGGUUGUAAACCUCUUUCAGCAGGGACGAAGCGUAAGUGACGGUACCUGCAGAAGAAGCACCGGCUAACUAUGUG
rnacentral:rRNA from 1 species